rnacentral:lncRNA from 1 species
AGGCUUAUUGAAUAAGAAAAUAGACAAACACAACAAUAUUUCAAGUAGGAAAUUGAUAGGCAGUAAUAGCUAAAUGUAGUUGUGACAACCAAGGCAAUGAUCAGUAGCAACAACCAUGAGCAUUAUAAAAGAUUAAGAGUGAGAAAAAAAUAAAAAUAAAAAUCUUGAAUCCUAGCAAAAAUAAUUAGUCACAACUUUAUUGAUACCUCUGU